rnacentral:rRNA from 1 species
CAGCAGCCGCGGUAAUACGUAGGUGGCAAGCGUUGUCCGGAAUUAUUGGGCGUAAAGGGCUCGCAGGCGGUUUCUUAAGUCUGAUGUGAAAGCCCCCGGCUCAACCGGGGAGGGUCAUUGGAAACUGGGAAACUUGAGUGCAGAAAAGGAGAGUGGAAUUCCACGUGUAGCGGUGACAUGCGUAGAGAUGUGGAGGAACACCAGUGGCGAAGGCGACUCUCUGGUCUGUAACUGACGCUGGGGAGCGAAAGCGUGGGGAGCGAACAGGAUUAGAUACCCCUGUAGUCCCUGUCUCUUAUAC